AGUGGGAUAGCUGGGUCAAAUGGUGGUUCCAUUCCAAGUUUUCUGAGGAAUCUCCAUACUGCUUUCCAGAUUGUUAACACCAAUUUUCAGUCCCACCAGCAAU
rnacentral:pre_miRNA from 1 species